rnacentral:rRNA from 1 species
UUGUGUUUUAGUUGCAAACAGGUCAAGCUGUGCACUCUAGACAGACUGCCGUGGACAACACGGAGGAAGGUGGGGAUGACGUCAAAUCAUCAUGCCCCUUAUGAUCUGGGCUACACACGUGCUACAAUGGCCGGUACAACGGGCAGCGAAGGAGCGAUCCGGAGCGAAUCCUAAAAAGCCGGUCCCAGUUCGGAUUGCAGGCUGAAACUCGCCUACAUGAAGUUGGAGUUGCUAGUAAUCGCGAAUCAGAAUGUCGCGGUGAAUGCGUUCCCGGGUCUU